rnacentral:lncRNA from 1 species
UUUUUUUUUUUUUUUUUAAACCUCACAAAAAGGAUUUCUUUCUUUGUACUAAAAGUAUAGACUGGGAACUUUAAAUACAGAAAAAAAUGGGGUAAAUUAGUUCUGUAACACAGAUUAUUGAGCUAGAGGAUUUUCAGUCUAAGUUUUGUCCUUUGAGUGUUUUUUGUAAUAGGCUGAUUUAGGGACUUAAGAUUCUACUUUGAGGAUAAAGUAGCUGUCUUGUCUUUGGGCCAAGGAAUACUCAUACUUCUCUGUUCAGCUAAAGCACACAGGAAAAUGUUCAAGGUUCUCUCAGAGUGGAAUACUUUCAUUCUUUUUCUGUUUGUUAUAUAACCAGCAUUAGAUGAUGCCCUUCAAAAGGAAGUUUCAUUCUUUAUCAUAGCCUUUCUGGAUUUUGUCAGUUUUCUGGUAGCAGAUAGAGAAGAAAAUCCUCCAAGGGUUAAUCAGCUUCAUGAAGAAAACGUGGAGCCACGAUACAGGCAAUAGACAAAGUCACUUUUUGAUAAAUUCUAUUUGUUAUUUUUGGAAAAGUUUUCAGAUUAGUGGCUAAUGUUUAUUCCUAUGAUAAUACUCAUUGCAGUCUUUUUCAUUAAAAUAAAUGAUUUUAAUGAGUGAGAUUCUUACUGCCUAGUUGGUUCUGUCCCAUGGCUGUUAACACAGCUAUGGAAAUAAUGAAAUGUAUAGUGAACUGGGCUUUGUAGAAUCUGCUCUGGCUUUUCCAUUUACUUUGCAAACUUGUUUAUUCUACUGUUCUAGUGUUAAUUAUGUAAAUAACCAUGGUGCGGUAUUGGAUAAUUUAAUUGGCUUAGCUGGUAACUAAAUAGUAGGCACACAAAGCAGGCUGUAUAGCCAGGGCCUCUCUUGCCUUCAGUUUUACUUAUUUCUUCGUUUCUAGCCUAGAAUGGUACUUCAGUGAGCAGAUUCAACUGAAAUCAAGAUAGCUAGACUCUGGAGCCUAACUCAACAAGUUGUAAUAGCAACUGGGCUUUGCCCAGUGAUUGGUGAAAGGGGCAGAGUCUCAGUCAUUAUAAAAAUACUUUAUAAACAUUUACUUCUGUACUGUUUACUUCACAGGUUUUGUGAGAUGUUGGUAACUGUUCAUUUCACAGAGGAAACAGAAAUCAAGAGUGAUGCAUGUUUGGUGUGGUUUCUGACUGCCCCUCAAGCAGCGGUAGUCACACCUGCACUGAUACCAAUCUGCAUAGCUUGUCUUAAGGAGAAACUUACUGUCUCUAGAAAUCGUUAGAAUUUGUUGUUAUAACAAGGAGUCUAAUGUAAGGGUUAAGUUGAUAUUUUCAAAAAUAAAGUGCUUCAAGAUUUGUUUUUAUUAAAAAGAAAAUAGUAUAAUUAUAAGUUUACAUCAACAGGUAAGCAUUUUAAAAGUAUUUCAAGAUGUUAAUUGCAAACAGUUACAGUCCGGACCAUCUUUGGGAGAGAGGAACUUUGUGUCUCAUUGUUUAGCUGUCUUUGUGUUUUUGGAAGAAUAGGAAAUUUUUUAUAGUUGUUAUGGAUUGGAAUAUUUAAACUUAUUUUCAAUUGAAACUAUUACAUCUUCCACUGUAACACAUCUCCAAGGUUGUAAAUGGUACUAAGUACAUGAAGUACAAAACUAGACUAUGGGAAUUUGCAUUAGGGCUUCUGAACUCACCUUAGCAUUCUUUAGAGUGCUGUCAUCUGCCUUUAUCUAUUUAUUGUUGUGAUUGGUGGUUAUUGUUAUUUAGAUUAUAAACAUUUUGAAAACAAAAGUGGUAGUUUGUACUUGUGAUUCAGCAAAACACCACUUGUUAAGGUUCACAAAUGUUUGAAUUAGGUUUGACUAUUUGUGGUAAUUUGGAAAGACAUUAAAUACCCCUAUUUUUCUUUUUCUUCCCUAGCAUCAUCUGCAUGGCAAAGCUUAGAGGAAGCACUAAGAUUUAUGAGGAUAAGCAGACUAGAGACUUGAAGUGUGUACCUUUUAUUUAGAAUGUUUUACCUGUCCUCUUAUUUUCUUCUGCAAAGCUCUUAGCCCAUUCAGGACUCCUCAUUUAAGUAUCAACGAUGAGCAGGAAGUGGCCAAGUGGUAAAGCCAUUGAGGUUUUAACAGGAGUACAGCUGGCUCUGCAGAACCACAGCCAGCUCUGGCUCUAAGCAAUGAGAAGUGAUACUUUGAUAGUGGUGAUGAGUGCAUGCAUGUGCAUGUUCUGCCCCAUCCUCCCUGCAGAAUGUCUGGUACAUUUGUUCUUAGUAAUGUCAAGCUGAGAGAAUAGCUUGUUUGGUUCUUGGCUUAACUGGCCAUAGGAACUCAGUUUUACGAGAGCUGUAGGAACCAUUUACCACCACCUGGAACCGGUAAAUGCCCAGGCCAGAACUUUGAAAGUUAGACGUUUUCCUAAACAACAACUGAUUUUUGCCUGUUGACUUGUGCUUUUUUGGCUUGGAAAUGAGGUUGUGUAGAUGUGGGGAAGUGUCCUGAAGAGCAGAGAAAAGACUCAUUGAAUGGAACUAUGAAUCUGGUUCUUGCUUCAUUUGUGACAGAAAAUGGAUAUUUCAUUUAGUUCUGAGUCACCUUUGGUUACAUUUUUCGGAACUAGGCUAGUUGUGUUGAUUAUAGAAACACAUUGUUUGUAUGUGUUCAUGUAUACUUUUAUUUUGUUCAAUGCUGGGCACCAAUUCAGGGCCUCGUGUAUAUCCCUGAGACACCUAGUUCCCUGGGAGAUUGUAGACCUAGGAUUACUUUAUCAAGUAUUUCCUUCUCCGGCCUCUUUUCUUUCUCUUCUCUUCUUUCUUUACUUUUUAUGAAGAAUUAAGUUGACCACUCUGAUAUAAUUGGAAGGUAAUAUGUUACUAAUGUAUGUAUAAUUUGGAAAAAUAUUGUUUACUUUUCAGUUGCUAUAAUAAGAUACCAUGACCAAGAAAACUUAUUAAGAAAGUUUAUUUGGAGCUCACAGUUUCAGAGGGUUAGAGUCCAUGACCAUCAUGGCAGGGAGCAUGGCAGCAGGCAGGCAGGCAGACAGGCAGCAGGCAGGCAGCAGGCAGGCAUGGCUUUGGAGUAGUAGCUAUCUGGGAAUGGUUUUGGAAAACUCAGUGCCUGCCCGCAGUGACACCUUCUCCAGCAAGGCCACAGCUUCUAAUCCUUCCAAACAGUUCCACCAAUUGGGGACCAAGUUUCCAACCAUAUGAACCUGUGGGGGCCAUUCUCAUUGAGAUUACCAUGCCUCGGUUGAAAGUUAAGUAGUUUAUCAGGAGACUUCUUGGUUUAUUU